rnacentral:lncRNA from 1 species
UGAGCACCAUCAAAUGAAAGAUAAUGAAACAGAGUAAUACAUGCCUAUGCAUACAUACAAAGGCAAAGAUGCACAGCCUUGUGUGUCUGUAUUUUCUAACCUUUCAGCUUAUAUAGAUUUCUAACAAGAUAAGCAAAAGGCUGUUGAGAUUUAUUCACUUUGCAUCAUCUUUUGGGGGCACUACAACAACAACAACGACACAGUAAAGUCACACUAGGUGGGGUCUAGGAAGGGUAGUGUGUACGCACCCUUACCCCUACCCCAAUGGGGUAUCUUUUUGGGGGCACUAUGUCUAUAAAUUCUCAAUGGGCCAAACAAUACAUGCCAAUUGUGUUCACCAAUGACAUACACAGGUAAUGUGACACCUUUUGUAGCUGUGACCCACCACAACCCGAGACAAAUCCCUUGGCUCGCACAAAGUUUUUAGUUCAAGAUGACUACUGGAAGUUUACUCGAGCCUCAUGAGACAUCGCAGCAGUCAUGUACAUAUCUGACAACAUUGAACAUAGCAUUAAAUAUUUUCAUUGUGCACGUCAAUUUACUUGCACCACGACUAUUCCAUCGGAUGUCUGCUAUCCCCAUCAACAGAAGUACCGGCUAUACCUUUGGGUGCACAGCACAAAGCAUUAGAUAUUUGCAACAUGCAGCAAAUUACCAAGGCUCCGUCAUGUUGUGCACAAGUCAACCUCAUGCUAUCCUUUUACAUGGAACUUUAUUUCGAUAUCUUGUCAAAUAUGCCUACCAAAGGAGAAAGAUGACUGUACAUUAGCAACAACUUGUCUAAAGCUCCUGAACCAGACUAUUUUGAAUUUUCCACCUCCUUCCAGUGAAGAAAGAAUAGACAACUGCUUUUGGUUGCAUGGAUACAACAACAACAACCCAGUAUAAUUCCACUUAGCGGGGUGUGGGGAGGGUAGUGUGUACGCAGACCUUACCCCUACCCUGGGGUAGAGAGGUUGUUUCCAAGCCCCCGGCAUCCUUCCCUCCAAGAACUUUCCACCUUGCUCUUGGGGAGACUCGAACUCACAACCUCUUGGUUGUAAGUGGAGAUUGCAUGGAUGAAUAACAGAAUCUUAAGGCCCAACAUUACACCUGCGAUGUCAGUGUGAAAUCAAGAAACUAGUAUAAUCGCACAAGUGGGUUUAGUGAGGAUAGAGUAUAUGCAAAACCGAAGCGAAAGAAUAAGGAUAAAAAUAAGAAACAUAAAUAACAGGUAGUAAAAGAAAACUAAGAAUAGGAAAAUACAAAAGCCAUACUAAUACUACUGAUAUGGAAAAGAAAUACCUCAACUAUAUACUAACCUUCUACUUGUUGGCCACUUAAGAUCAUAAUACGUACGGUCAACCAGAAGGAUUAGAAUCCACUUCAGAAGCAUGAUAACCACAUUGAAGUGAUUUUGAUUGAUGACCAUUAAAGUUUUGAAUCAUCAAGUCAAAUUUGCACAACAAAUAAUAAAGAACACACUAGGGCUUGUAUUUUUUUUCCAAGCAUCUGAUAGUUUAAGGGUUACCAAUGUAGGUACAACAACAACAACAACAACAACUACCCAGUAUACUCCCACCAGGUGGGGUCUGGGGAGGN